rnacentral:rRNA from 1 species
UGGGGAAUAUUGCACAAUGGGCGCAAGCCUGAUGCAGCCAUGCCGCGUGUGUGAAGAAGGCCUUCGGGUUGUAAAGCACUUUCAGCGGGGAGGAAGGCGAUAAGGUUAAUAACCUUGUCGAUUGACGUUACCCGCAGAAGAAGCACCGGCUAACUCCGUGCCAGCAGCCGCGGUAAUACGGAGGGUGCAAGCGUUAAUCGGAAUUACUGGGCGUAAAGCGCACGCAGGCGGUCUAUCAAGUCGGAUGUGAAAUCCCCGGGCUCAACCUGGGAACUGCAUUCGAAACUGGCAGGCUAGAGUCUUGUAGAGGGGGGUAGAAUUCCAGGUGUAGCGAUGAAAUGCGUAGAGAUCUGGAGGAAUACCGGUGGCGAAGGCGGCCCCCUGGACAAAGACUGACGCUCAGGUGCGAAAGCGUGGGGAGCAAACAGG